UUUAAAUUAAUUAUUUAUAUAUUUAUAUCGACGUUGUAGGCUUGCAACUUAUUAGCAGGGAGGGGACAGAUCCUUUGAUUGCUGCCGCACCCUAACGCCGUGUGUUACAAUUGUUUGUCCUUGAUGCGUGGUUGGCCUAAGUAAAAGAUUUGGUUAUGUUGAUGGCAUAUCCGUGUGCACCGUAGUACUGACAUUGGAUUAGAAUGUUGUUUCGAUUGAAUUUAUCCAUUGGAAAAAUGUAAAAUUAUUUAAAAGUAUAUUUUAUUAAAUUAAUUUUUCUUAAAA